rnacentral:rRNA from 1 species
AAUACCUACGGGGCGCAGCAGUGAGGAAUAUUGGUCAAUGGGCUUACGCCUGAACCAGCCAAGUCGCGUGAGGGACGACUGCCCUAUGGGUUGUAAACCUCCUUUAUAAGGGAAGAAUAAAUGCUACGUGUAGCAUGAUGCCUGCACCUUAUGAAUAAGCAUCGGCUAACUCCGUGCCAGCAGCCGCGGUAAUACGGAGGAUGCGAGCGUUAUCCGGAUUUAUUGGGUUUAAAGGGUGCGUAGGCGGUAUUUUAAGUUAGUGGUAAAACGUCGGGGCUUCACCUUGAUUGGCCAUUAAAA